AUUGAACGCUGGCGGCAUGCCUUACACAUGCAAGUCGAACGGUAACAGGUUAAGCUGACGAGUGGCGAACGGGUGAGUAAUAUAUCGGAACGUGCCCAGUCGUGGGGGAUAACGCAGCGAAAGCUGUGCUAAUACCGCAUACGAUCUACGGAUGAAAGCGGGGGAUCGCAAGACCUCGCGCGAUUGGAGCGGCCGAUAUCAGAUUAGCUAGUUGGUGGGGUAAAAGCCCACCAAGGCGACGAUCUGUAGCUGGUCUGAGAGGACGACCAGCCACACUGGAACUGAGACACGGUCCAGACUCCUACGGGAGGCAGCAGUGGGGAAUUUUGGACAAUGGGCGAAAGCCUGAUCCAGCAAUGCCGCGUGCAGGACGAAGGCCUUCGGGUUGUAAACUGCUUUUGUACAGAACGAAAAGGUUUCUACUAAUACUAGGAGCUCAUGACGGUACUGUAAGAAUAAGCACCGGCUAACUACGUGCCAGCCGCCGCGGUAA
rnacentral:rRNA from 1 species